GAUGAACGCUGGCGGCGUGCCUAAUACAUGCAAGUCGAGCGAACAGACGAGGAGCUUGCUCCUCUGACGUUAGCGUCGGACGGGUGAGUAACACGUGGAUAACCUACCUAUAAGACUGGGAUAACUUCGGGAAACCGGAGCUAAUACCGGAUAAUAUAUUGAACCGCAUGGUUCAAUAGUUAAAGACGGUUUUGCUGUCACUUAUAGAUGGAUCCGCGCCGCAUUAGCUAGUUGGUAAGGUAACGGCUUACCAAGGCAACGAUGCGUAGCCGACCUGAGAGGGUGAUCGGCCACACUGGAACUGAGACACGGUCCAGACUCCUACGGGAGGCAGCAGUAGGGAAUCUUCCGCAAUGGGCGAAAGCUUGACGGAGCAACGCCGCGUGAGUGAUGAAGGUCUUCGGAUCGUAAAACUCUGUUAUUAGGGAAGAACAAAUGUGUAAGUAACUAUGCACGUCUUGACGGUACCUAAUCAGAAAGCCACGGCUAACUACGUG
rnacentral:rRNA from 1 species